UCCCAAAAUGUGCAAUGAAUUCCUUCAGGGAAAAACAUGGUUUAUAAUAAAUACAAAUUUCAUGAACUUUCAGUCCCUCAUGCAAGAUUUAGAUUGAAAAGCAAAAUAAGACAACGGGAUGUACAAAAUCGAAGAACAAAUAUGUCCGCAAUCAUCAUGGGCGUGUAUAUCCGUUCAGGCAAUCUACAAGCUGAGCAAAAAAACCCAUUAUUCUAAAGCUUGGGCUCGCCAGUCAUUUGGAGUCAUAAUAGUGGUUAGACCAGCUAACUUAACAGACAAGGUUAUUCAUGCAGGUGCAGGACAUGCAUCCAAUGUGCAUUUCUCUAGACAAUCACUAGUCAUUCAGCCAAACUGGCUUGUGGCCAGCAGCAAUUAAGUGGAAAAGCAAUCUAAAGUGGAUCCUAAAGCCAUCCCAUGUGACACAAAGCAUUGUGUUGUGCCACUAAAAUGUAAGUUAAUCCCAUCACAAAAAAAAUACUCAAAAACUCUUAUCAUACU
rnacentral:lncRNA from 1 species